AACGAACGCUGGCGGCAUGCCUAACACAUGCAAGUCGAACGAGACCUUCGGGUCUAGUGGCGCACGGGUGAGUAACGCGUGGGCACCUGCCCUUAGGUUCGGAAUAACUCCCCGAAAGGGCUGCUAAUACCGGAUAAUGUCUUCACACCAAAUACUUAUCGCGUUUGGAUGGGCCCGCGUUGGAUUAGCUAGUUGGUAGGGUAAAAGCCUACCAAGGCGACGAUGCAUAGCUGGUCUGAGAGGAUGAUCAGCAACGAUGGGACUGCGGCACGGCCCAGUCUGCGACGGGAGGGAGCAGUGGGGAACAUUGUAGGAGGAGCGCAAGCCUGAUCCAGCCACGCCGCGUAAGUGAUGAAGCCCGUAGGGUUGUAAUUCCCUCUUACCCGGGAUGAUAGUGACGGUACCGGCAGAAGAAGCGCCGGCUAACUCCGUG
rnacentral:rRNA from 1 species